rnacentral:lncRNA from 1 species
UCUUGAUGCAACCAUUGUCCAAGGCAUAAAGGACAUGCUCGACAUGUAUAACCGGAUUGCUAGAAUAUUCAGAAUGGCAAGAGAUAGAUUAUCUGCACCAAACAACAAAGAAGUUCACAUAAAGUUAAUUGGUACAAGAUCGGACAGUUCACGACAAUAUACAAUGCCCACCACGUCAGAAAUUGCUGCUCUCAUUGUCGGAGAUUUUGGCCAAUCCAAUGGACGGAGAGAUAUAGUUGUAGAACAUAAGAGAAAAGGUCUGCAAAGGAUAAAAGAAUAUCAUCAUAAAUUCAUGGCAAUGCAAUAUCCUUUGUUAUUUCCAUAUGGUGAGGAUGGAUUUCACUUGGACAUUUUGCAUUCUCCAAAUCCAAAAAAGAAAAAAACUAAAAGAACAAAGGUUACAAUGAAAGAAUAUUAUGCUUACCGAAUACAACAAAGAAACUGUGAAGCAAAUACUCCCAUUUGUGGUGGUCGAUUAUUCCAACAAUAUGUUGUUGAUGCAUA